rnacentral:lncRNA from 1 species
UUAUAAUAAGCAGACAAAGCAGCAGGGUACCUGUCAAGCGAGUGUGAACAGUUUUAAUGGCAAACUUAUGUCAUUCCCUAAGAGUUUGUCAACCAAGAGUCUGUAAAACUAGGUGAAGCAUUCAUGAGAUACAAUCUUGCAUCUACACUUUAAUGCCCUAAAAUUUACAUUGCUGUUUUGGCAGCCACAUUACCUGUUCAAAAGAAGAUGUGGUACAUAUAUACAAUGGAAUUCUACUCAGUGAUAAAAAAAGAAUGAAAUAAUGCCAUUUAUUACAGACCAAGAAACUAUCAAACUAAGUGAAGUUAGACAGUGAAAGACAAAGAUCAUAUGGUAUUGUUAUGGCAGCUGCCCAGCAGCCCUGCGCCACAGCGUAUCAGCUCUGGUGACAGCCCUGUGGCUGGAGUCCACCAGCUCCAGCAGCUCUGUGGCUGCAGUGGAUCAGCUCUUUCACCCGGCGAGAAACCAAGUGAGUACUUGGAGAGUUGGAGAACUCAGGUUUAUUACGCAUGCGGGCUCAGAGGAGAUCGCUCUCCGGAGUCUGUGCCCUGAAGAAGGGUUUCACAAGGCUUUUAUGGGCUACCUCUUCUGGGUCCAUGCUUGGCUAGUCGGACUGGAGUGACGUCAGGCAAGGUAGUAGAUGCGGAAACAAGUUUACAGAAGCAGGUGUGUUGGGGAGGGGUGGUUAGGGGCUGUUGACUAGACUUUGCUUAGUCAUCAUGGCCAGGGUCUCUCCUUUCUACCUUUUUAUUGGGAAAGUUUCUCCUACAUUCCCCUCUCUUGAUGCUUUUCCACUUGCUUGGAGCAAGCAUCAAUUUUUAGAGGUCAAGUUGUCUGUGUCUGAUGUGUCUGGGCGGGGGGCAUACUGUGUCCUGACUAACAUUUGCAACCUUAUAGACUCUAUUCGUGUGGUUAUGAAAUGAGUAAUUGCAUUAAGAAUUCAGGGCCCAAACAAGAGGGCAAUGAUGAGUAUAGUCAGAGGCCCAGUUAAGUGUAGGAGCCGUGAAGCCCAGUUCCAGAUCUUAUUCCAUUAGUUUGAAGACUCCGCCAAUUCUCGCCUCCUCUUGGUUAUUCGAUCUUUUAAUUGUUGUGCCAUGCCACUGAUUACUCCUGACUUGUUGGCAUAAAGACAGCAUUCUUCAUCAGGCAAAGUCCCCCUUUUUCAGCAGUAAGUCCAGUGCUCUCCUGUUUUGAAGGGCCACUUCUGCCAGAGAAUCUACCUGAUCUUGUAAGGCAAGUGGCUACUUGUUCCAUGUCAUCUGUGAAUUCUUUAGAUAAUUGAAGAUAAUAAGCAGCCCAGGAUGCUACUUCCUCCCACUCCUGCUCCUAUCCCUGCUGAAAUUCCCAAACCAACUAAUAAGGGAAUAAUUUGUCUUGCUUUCUUGGUUCUGCCAUGUGCCUCUAUGGGCACCAUAAGAGACUGAUUUCCAGGGACAAUAUCUAUUUGAGGAGUGACAAAGGCUAAAGGGCAGGUCCCUGUCCAAUUAUCAGGGAGGCACUGGUAAGCAUAAUUCCCACAUACAAAUAAGAGGUCUAUCUUGGGUCUACACCAAGUCCCAUUGAUCAAGGGGGGGGUCUAAGUUCUCAACAUUAGUAACAUUAUCACAUUUGGUCAGGUUAACCACCUGAACCAUUUCCCAAAACUUUGAAUACACCAUGGGGCUGUGAGAGGCAUGUGUACACCUACCAGUCUAGGUUCUCGUGUUGGAUAAAACUGGCUUUGAUUUCCCCUGGUGGUAUUGAUGACACUUAUCAGUAUGGCAAUAAGUUGAGGCUUUUGGAUGGGUAAACAGAGCCAGCAGUCCCUCGCUAGUUUAGGGCUUGUCAUAUUUAAGAGGUGGUGCGUGGCAUGCAGCACUUGGCUCAGGUCAAGACCUUGACUUAGAGGUCUGAGUUUUAGCUUGGGUAACUGUAUGGGGGUGGGCAGCUGAAGCAGUAGAAGCCCAUCAUGUGGCUUUUCCAACUCAAAAUCUAUUCCCCCUAGCCAGGAUUGUAGCCAGCUGGGUAGCAAUUUCUGGGCAGCCUGUCAUCUGUUAAUCCUGUCCCAUCCCAUAGAUCAUUGUCCCAGUCUGUCGCCCUUGGAGUGAGCAGCAGGGUGAGUGUUAACAGAACUAUGAUUCCCUUAAUCCUUUUCACUGACCUAUUAUGAAUAGGGAUCCUUGUAUACUGACAGUCAGGAGAUACAUCACACAGAUGAGCAGCCGGGCUCCCUGUCCCCAUUCUGAAGGGGAUACCACAUAGAGCCCCACUCCAAAUAUGAGGGUUAUGGCAAUUUCAAUCACCAAUAUUCUCUACCAGAGCAUGAGUUCAGUUUAAGUUUGCAUGGAGAUCCUCUGGCCUCCACUUGUACAAACCAGCCAACUUCCAGUAUGUGGCUGGGGCAGGGCUGUAGAUUCCUCAAGCUUCUGCAUGUGUAGGCUGGCCAGCUUCCGGGUGUGACCAGAGGAGGGCCUGCCAUCCUCCGGUGCCAAAUGUUUCUGGAACUUGAUCCUGAGGGGGUUCUCAGGGUGCUGGACAGCUUCCCAGGUGUCUGUGUCAGUGGCAGGAGCAGGCUUCUUUAUUCUGGUGUGAUGGGCCCAUGGGGUAAUACCUAUAACCUUUAAAGCAGUUGGGGUUGCUAUGCGACCCUUAAUUUACAAAUGUUAACCAGUAGCCACAUCAAAGAAUGUAUCAAAGUCCAUGUUCCUACACUGACUGCCUGAGUUAAUAUUCUGCCUCAAUUUCCCCCCUGCAUUGGAGAUUCUAACUGUGGGGAAUAAGGGGUGAUGACCACUCUGACUUCUUCCUGCUGAGAAGGGGCAUCAUUAGGGAAAGCAGUUAGGUCUCCACUCAUGGAAUAGUCAAGCGGGCUUUGAUACAUUGCUUUGGGUACCCCUUCUAUCAACAUUUGAAGGUUGAUAGAUUUUAAUCAGGAUGUAAUGAAGCAAGAAAUACAAUUAAUUAUACAGGGUCUGAAUAAAAGGAUCAAGAUCACAAUGAAUAUGGUGAAGAAAUAUUUUCACCAGGAGGAGGUUAGCUGGUUCCACAGGGCAGCUCAAAAAGCUGGAGCCAGAUAGGACAGCUCAUGAAUCUACUGUCAAAGAUCUAGCAGAGAAUUAGACACAUUCUGUGAACAAUCAGGAAUACAACAUUUAGAUUUUAUAAUAGCACAGGUAACUUGUAUGAUUUUUCUGAUUUCUCUGGCUGGUUAUGAAAUAUUUGUAUGCCUUGGUCAGCAUGUAAUUGAACGCUACCUUAUGUCCUUGUGAGCAGUAUGAUUUAUGGCACCUUACUUUUAAAGUUAACUUAAAUAUAUUCUAAACAGUCCCCACCAUGCACAAAAUUCUCUUCUCAGUGCCCACUUCCCAUACACCUUGUAUCACUUUCUGUAUCCAUAUUAGUCUGUUUUAUUUUCAAACCAGAGCAAUCAGCUGAAGACAGACUAUCUUUCUUUUGCCUUAAUAAAAUUCAAUUCCAUCCCUCUUUCCUUCUAUAUUGAAAGUACACACAUUCUACUUUUCUAAAGCAACCACGGACUGUCCUUUAUAAUUUCUAAAAACACAUGUUUUUCUUAUAGAGACCAUCUCAGGGUGGCACUGAUCAUAUUGAUUAAUCAUUCUAAAUAGCUUUAGUUUCUGUUUAGUAAAUGAUGUCUCAGUGUCUCCUUUGACCUCUGUUAAACCUAGGUACGAUAUUAUAUCUAAUGUUGACAGCUGUAAUGACAUGUAUGUAUUAAUUAGAUCAGCAAACUUCAAUUCUAAUUUAAGAUAUUAAUUUAAUACUGAAUAUUUCCCAAUUUACUUGAACCUAAAAUUAAUUCUGGCCAGUUAGUCACCUUCCAUAUUUUGAGAAUUUAUAUAUGCAAAGCCUUAGCCAAGGAAAUGCAGAAUAAAGGCAUCUUUAAAAUCUAAUACAGUAACCCAUGCUGCUGUUUCUGGAAUUUGUGAAAGAAGAGUGUAGGGAUUGGGCACCACUGGAUGUAAUGGGACCAGUGUCUCAUUUAUUAGAUGAAGGUCUUGUACUAGGAGCCAAUCCUGUUAAGUUUUUGCACUCCCAAUAUAGGAGUGUUACAAGGGUUGAUACAUUCAAUUAAUAAUCUCUGUUCUCUUAUGUGUCCUAUAAUUGGGAUAAAUCCCUGUCAUGCCUUGGGUCUCAGAGGAUACUGCCUUUGCAAAGAAAUAAAUUCUGAGAUCUUUAAGACAUUUCCACCAGUUGCUCUUCCUAUGUUUCCUCCUAUGGCCCAGGCUUCUGGGUCAAUACAUACUUCCAUCAAAGGUAGGCAUAAACCUUGAUUAGGCUCCAUUGCCAUGUGAACUGAGGCUUUAACCUCUUACAAAAUAUUUCUUUCUAAAAGAGGAGUUGGACUCUCUGGAACAAUCAGAAAGGCAUGAGAGAUUCCCAGUCACGACUCAAAGGUUGUGUAAAAAAUUUUUUAACCAGCUUGCCAGAAAUAUGAAUGUGGUGGUUUCAUGAGGGAGGGGCCCAGGAUUGGAGAGGAGGACUGAAAAGUGGCUCCCAUAUUCAGGAGGAAGUCAAUAGGCUGUCUUCCUACAUGUAGAGUUACCCAGGGCUCCUGAGUGGUGAUAAGGACAGGAGCCAUUAUGGAAAUGUCCCAUCAGUCUUGAUCCUGGGCCUGAGGGGUCAACCCCAAAGACCUUCAUCUUCAAGGGCAGUCCCUCUUCCAAUGAUCUCCCCAACAUAUGGGGCACAGCCUAGGUGCUGUGGUCUGAGUCUUGGGUCAUUCCCAUUUAAAGGGUCCCUCUUG